rnacentral:rRNA from 1 species
AGGGUGCAAACGCUGCAGACUUGGUGUUGGAGGCCCUUUGGGGGCAUUCAGUGCCGGAGAGAAGUUGUUAAGUCUGCUACUUGGGGAGUACGUCCGCAAGGAUGAAACUUAAAGGAAUUGGCGGGGGAGCACCGCAACGGGAGGAGCGUGCGGUUUAAUUGGAUUCAACACCGUAAACUCACCAGGGAAGACUGUUACAUGAAGGCCGAGAUGAAGACUCUGCUAGAUUUUCAGAGAGGAGUGCAUGGCGUCAGUGACU